rnacentral:rRNA from 1 species
UACGAAGGGGGCUAGCGUUGCUCGGAAUCACUGGGCGUAAAGCGCGCGUAGGCGGUUGCCUAAGUCGGACGUGAAAGCCCUCGGCUUAACCGAGGAAGUGCAUCCGAAACUGAGCAGCUAGAGUACGAAAGAGGGUCGCGGAAUUCCCGGUGUAGAGGUGAAAUUCGUAGAUAUCGGGAGGAACACCGGCGGCGAAGGCGGCGACCUGGGUCGAGACUGACGCUGAGGCGCGAAAGCGUGGGGAGCAAACAGG